rnacentral:rRNA from 1 species
AGCGAACGCUGGCGGCAGGCCUAACACAUGCAAGUCGAACGAACCCUUCGGGGUUAGUGGCGGACGGGUGAGUAACGCGUGGGAACGUGCCUUUAGGUUCGGAAUAACUCAGGGAAACUUGUGCUAAUACCGAAUGUGCCCUUCGGGGGAAAGAUUUAUCGCCUUUAGAGCGGCCCGCGUCUGAUUAGCUAGUUGGUGAGGUAAUGGCUCACCAGGGCUACGAUCAGUAGCUGGUCUGAGAGGAUGACCAGCCACAUUGGGACUGAGACACGGCCCAAACUCCUACGGGAGGCAGCAGUGGGGAAUCUUGCGCAAUGGGCGAAAGCCUGACGCAGCCAUGCCGCGUGGAUGAUGAAGGUCUUAGGAUUGUAAAAUCCUUUCACCGGUGAAGAUAAUGACUGUAGCCGGAGAAGAAGCCCCGGCUAACUUCGUGCCAGCCGCCGCAGUAACAC